rnacentral:lncRNA from 1 species
UUCCCUGUCAGACAGGUGAUGCGUAAUGCUGUCAGAAAGCAUGUGCUGGUGAAGAAAUACAUUGAGCCCUGCUUGGUCCAGUGAGGUUAUUAGUGAAUUGGGAGAGGCUCAAAUCAGCAUGCAAACUAUUGUGAAAUUUUGGUAAGUGGUCAGUGAUUUUGAUGGUCUUGCCCAAUUAGUAGGAAUGGGACAAGGAAGGUGGUUUAAAUAGGCAGUAGGUAAUUACUUGACAUUUUCCCAUUAUGAUCUGAAAACAUGUUAAGAUCAGGAUGUACUAGAGAAUGAAGAAUCUAGCCUAUUUUCCCCAUUCUCCCAUUUUUACAGAUAGGAGAAUUGGAAAUUGCUUGAGAUUAUAUUGGUAGAAAAUAGAUUUGAAUUCAAGUCAAGACUGUUGUCUUUUACUCAGUGCUUCUAUUUAGAUUCCAUCCAAAUAUAAGGAGGCCAUGUGAGACAGAAAUUAUUUUAUUUCACAAUAAAAAAUUAUUGUUGUGUCAAUGCUAUAAUUAUUAUUAUUUUUUUGCAGCACUGGGGAUCGAACCCAGGACCUCAUACAUGCUAGGCAAGCACUCUACCAUUGAGCUACAUCCUCAGUCCUCACACUAAAGAUUUUUGUAAUAGCUUCUGAGAUUGUACUUACCUGAUGAUGGAAAUUUCCAUGGUAUAAAAUAUUGUUAUGCAUAAAGUUAGUUACUUGGUGCUUGUUAAACAUGCAGAUUCCUGGGCAGCUAGAAACCUUUUCAUUAGUCAAAAGCAAAAUAAGGAUCUGCCUGUUUCUUGUAUUAUUUUUAGGUACUGGGGAUUGAACCCAGGGGCCCUCUACCAGUGAGCUUCAUCCCCACCCCUCCCUUUUUUUUUAACAAUUUUUGUGUCAGUUUUAUUAAGGUACAAUUAACAUACAGUAAGAUUUGCCAAUUUGUUUUUUUUUGUGUGUGUAUGAGGUGCUGGGGAUUGAAUCCAGUGGCCUUGUGCCUGCGAGGCAAGUACUCUACCAACUGAGCUAUAUCCCCAGCCCAUUUUUAACAAUUUUUGCCCAUCGCUUUUUUUAAAGAAAAAUCUUCAAUGUUUUUUUUUAAUAUAUUUAUUUUUAUUUGUUUAUUUUUAUGUGGUGCUGAGGAUUGAACCCAGGGCCUCACACAUGCGAGGCAAGCUCUUUACCACUGAGCUACAACUCCAUUCCCAUCCCGAGCCCUUUUUCUAAUAAUUUUUUUUUUUUUAUUUUUAAGACAGGUUCUUGCUAAGUUGCCAAGAGUCUUGCGAAGUUGCUCAGAUUGGCUUGAAACUUGUGAUCCUCCUGCUUCAGCCUCUGGAGUUGCUGGGAUUACAAGUGUGUACCACCACACAUGGCUCUGCCUGCUCAGCAAAUUCACCAGAGUGCCAGGAUCAAUCACUAUUUCUGAGGAUAUCCUGGUGAGGCAGUUUGGAAACCUUGGUAAGUUGUGAGUAGUUUCUUUGGUAGUAGAGAAGGGAAAGUGGUCAUGAUGUGGCACUUUCAGCCUUCUUUCAGCAGAUAGUUAUUAAGUACUUACUAAAUGCUAGAAACUGUUCUUGACAUUAACAAAGUCACAGAACUUUAAUUCUUGUGAGUUUGGACAAAAGGAUAAAUAACCAAUAAAUGUGAAAUGUGGACUGGGGAUAUAACUCAGUGGUCAAGCACUUGCCUAGCAUGUGUGAGGCCCUGGGUUUAAUCUGCAGCUCUGCCCCGACCAUCAAAAAAGAGUAAAAUAUUGAGAUUUUUAUAUUGGAUUUUUUCCCAUGGUGAAGUGAAAAAUUGCAUUUAAAAUGGUUGAGUUAAACUGUGCAACAUCGUGUGUUUUUCUCCCUUCUAUUCAUUUUCCCUUUUUAUACCUGCCACUGUUUCUUAAUGCAAUGGAGGCUGACCUAGCUGAAUGCAGAUAAUAAUAUUUAUUUAUUUAUUUAUUUUUGUAACUCUUUAUUAGGCUGAAUUGUGAAGGCAUAUCUUUGAAAAGUGUUUCAGAGUCCAGCAAAUGUUCCAUGUGAGUGACCACAUAGAAGAAGAGAAGGGGGUUCGCAGUGAUUAAGGUAAUAUAGUGAAAAAGGUAAGUAGGAGAUGACUCCUGUCAGGGAGGCUCUUAGAAAUGCCAUUUUCAAACCACUUAGAAAGCCUGAAACUUUCUCUAAAAUGUAUUCUCAAAAUAGUUUGGGGGGAUAUAUGUAUUUACUCAGUUUGUGAUCACCACUGCUGAGGAUCAGAAGAACUGAAAUGGUUCCUAAGUAACCAAGAUGGCAUAAACUCCAGAAUUUUGGUGUUGGGGCUCAAACCCAGGGCCUUGUGCAUGUUAAGCUCAUGUCCUAUCCCUGGGUUACACUCCCAGCCCGUGAGCUUCUGGUUUUG